rnacentral:lncRNA from 1 species
AUGAAAAUGGACUUUUCAUUACCUAAAGUGGAUUCCAAUUUGAAACUUGCCAUGUUGAUGCUGAAUACUCAUUUCCAGUGAUGCUAGAUGGAUUCUUUCAUGGUGAACACCCAAGAGCAACAGGCAGAAGAUGUACUGUGUUUGAUGACCUAGCUUUAGGAGACACAUUACCUCACUUCAACCAAACACUUGUGUGUGAAGAAGUCAGAACCCCACCUAAAUUCAAGCUUAGCGGACAUAGACACUAGUCAAUUGGAGAAGUGUCGAAAAAUCAGCUGCAUUAAAAAAAAUCACCUUGGGCUGGGCACAGUGGCUCACACCUGUAAUUUCAGCACUUUGGGAGGCUGAGGCAUGUGGAUCAUUUGAGCCUAGGAGUUUGAGAUCAGCCUGAGCAACAUGGUGAGACUCCCUCUCUAAAUAAAAUAAAAUAAAAAUAAAAAAAUCACCUUAUCAAAACUAGGAAAAGCUGUAUGCACACUAAGGACAAAUCUCCUUAGUAGCAUGAAUUACUGCAAUAACUUAACCAAGUUGUCUGAUAUGAUUUUCAUGGUGCUUUAUUGAACACCUAUUUUAAUAGAUUUAUGGAGCUACCGGUUACUAGAGGAGAUAUCCCUGGCUUAUGCAAAUUUCAUUCCGCAGCAAAAUACCAAGACUUCUUGGAGAGACUUUUAAUCACUUUAACUUAAGCUCCAAUAUUAGUUGAACUAUAUAAACAGAUGGUCAGAAUGAUCUUCCCAAUAUUUAGAAAGAAAUACAUUUUAGUCCCAGGAAACCCUAAUUCAAUAGAACCAUGUGAAAUGCCACAAAUACUUAGUGAACAAGUUAGAAAAAUGGAAAAUAAAAAUAAAGAAAAAAGCCCAUUUAUCCUGACCAAUCAAUUUAAUUAGACCACAAUAGUCAACAAAAUCUAGCCCAACCCUCUAGAUUUGGUCAUAUGUUCACUGUUAAAUCAACCCCUUGUCCAAAGAAAUAUAAUGCAGUGACUGGUCUAAUCUAGGUACAUAUCUACCCCUCUAGGCUGGAAAGCCAUUAGUUUCCCUCUUAAGCAAGCAGAUACAUAGAUGAAAAUUAGCAGUCAUUGGGAUGUGACAAAUAGACGCAAGUAGAGUCACCUUCAAGUGUCCAUGAUAGGAGAAGGUGUAUUCCAGGCAGAGAAACAGCUUAUGUAAAGUUCUGCAAGAUCAUUGAUCAUUUGGGGGAAAAUGGCAAGGAAGUGUUAUGACUGGAGUAAAUAAUAUCUAACAUCCUUGGCCACUGAAAUCACAGGAACCAGACUAUAAUUAUGUCACACUAAAAGGAGAUUACCUAAUUGUUUCAUUAACAACACAUUUUCAAAAUAAACCAGAGACCUGUAUUCUUAUGGAACUGAGAUAGGAGAAAUCUCAUAAAUAUUCUCUGGAAAAAUAUAGAGAAUGAGAGGGUACAAUACAACGUAUUAUAUAAAGGCUUAACUCUUAAAAACCUUAUUUAUGUUAUCUAAGAUCUUAGUAACUCAGCUUCAAGCUAACGUUGACUACCCUCAAUUAUAGACUCUAUUCAUGGGUCCAUGAACCUGACACUUGAAAGCUUCCCUUGAAAAUUACCUGUCAAAAAUAUGCUUUAUCCAAGUGAAAACUAGGUUUAUAAAUACUUCAGCCUGUUUUUAACUCUGUCUCUUUAGACUAAUAUGUCCUUUUCUGAGCAGACAUCAUUUAGGGUGACCUUUUCAAAAUAGAGUCAAGGGUUCAGGAAUCACACUGGCUUUGCACCUUGCUGCUUACAAAGUGUGUUUGGGAAUGUUGUUGUAUUGAUUACUUACAACAACCCUGUAAUUGAGGUAUACUGAUACCCCUUUUACAGAAGGAUAAACUGAGGCUCAGGAAGGUCAGUAAUUUUCUCAAAGAUACACAGAUGGUCAGUGACAUAUGAGGAUCAAGGUCACAUUUCCUACCCCAAGUCCAGCACUCCUUUGGCAGGUGCUGUUUCCUGUCAUCAGUAAAGCAGAUGUUAGCCAGGCAUGGUUGCUUACACUUGUAGUCCUCAGCACUUUGGGAGGCCGAGGCAGGUGGACUGCUUGAGACCAGGGGUUCGAGACCAGCCUGGGCAACAUGGCAAACCCCAUCUCUACAAAACAUAGAAAAAUUAGCUGGGUGUGGCAGUGCAUGACUGUGGUCCCAGCUACUUGGGAGGCUGGGGCAGGAGGAUCACUUGAGCCUAGGAGGCAGAUGUUGCAGUGAGCUGAGAUUGUGCCACUGUACUCCAGCCUGGGUGACAGAGUGAGACUCUGUCUCAAAAAAUAAAGCAGACAUCACUAGAGCUUCUCAUUUAUCAAAGUACAAUUUGAAUCACAGAACCCACAUCAUAUAUUAAGCUACUCUAUGUAACUGGAAUUAUGGCAAUAGUUUGUCUAUACCUAGAAUACUAGAAUAAUAAAAAAUACACAUUACCUAUUUUUAUUGUAUAAUUGACCCUUGAACAAUUCAUGAGUCACCAGUGCUGACCCCCAGGACAGUCAAAAAUCCAUGUAUAAUUUUUGACUCCCCAAAAACUUUACUAAUAGCAUACAGUUGACCAGAAGCCUAACAAUAACAUAGUCGAUUAACACCUAUUUUGCACAGUAUAUGUAUUAUAUAUGGUAUUCUCAUAAUAAAGGAAGCUAGGGAAAAGAGACUGUUGUAAGAUAAUCAUAAGGAGACUUCACAGCCUUUAGAACUGUAAGAAAUAAAGCUCUGUUCUUUAAAAAUUAAAUAAAAAGAAAAUUAUAAGGAAGAUAAAAUACAUUUACAGUAUUGUGCCAUACUUUUUGAUACAAUAUGUUUAUGCAAUCUGUUUAUAAGAUGAAUUGUCUGUCUGAAAUAGUGGGCAACCACAGUUGUAGACCUCCAUCUAUGACACAUAUCAAGAAAUUCAACUUUUUCUUGUAAUGUUAUGACUUUUCUCUACUUUUUGCAACCACUUCCAGCAUCACUAGUGGCACUUUAUAUGAGUCCCAUGCUGUUAGUGAAGGUUUACAGUACUGAAUUAAAUACAAUGAAAAAUCUAAGAGAGAUCAUUUUUUACUGUGCUUUGCAAUUUGCUGGAGAGAUGAACUGCUCACACAGAGAUGAUUGGCAUCACACGGCUUUUUAAGAGGCUACUUGCCACACUUGAGCUAUUUCAAUAACAACAGGAGGUGAACACAAAAUUGUUAUGGUAGCACAAUAAAUACUACGGUUAUUUUUAUGCGGUUAUGAUUCAAUACUGCAUCUUUAUGUUUGUUUACAUUUUUCUUGAUGGUGAAUGACAUCACGUACAAUCUGUGUGCGUAAGUUUUGAUAAAUUUUUUAUAAUAGGUUUGUGUAUAUUUUAUGCUAACAAAUGAUAUAACAAGCUAGUAUUUAUAUAUAUUUUAUGCAUUCAUAACAUACCUGACUUCUUAAUUGUGUCCAUAUUUCUAGGUUAUGCAGUUUGCACGCUUUUUCAAAUUGUAGCAAAACUCCAAAAUAAAUAUAUUUUCCAAUAUUUUUAUCGCAUGGGUCCCCGUAUAAGCGGACCCAUGCAAUUUGAACCUGUGUUAUUUGAGUCAACUGUAAUUUUUAGUUGAACACUAUAGUUUCAAUAAAGAAAAUUAUCAAAACACAUACAAAAAGCAAAGCAAAACAAAAACCACACAAGUGUGAAUAAAACACUGCAUUGUAUGGAUGGAUCCUACGUUCUUAGCUGUUUGUUCAAGGCUGCCUACAUUUAGACUCCAAGCACUUCU